UAGAGUUUGAUCCUGGCUCAGAUUGAACGCUGGCGGCAUGCCUUACACAUGCAAGUCGAACGGCAGCAUGGACUUCGGUCUGGUGGCGAGUGGCGAACGGGUGAGUAAUACAUCGGAACGUGCCUAGUAGUGGGGGAUAACUACUCGAAAGAGUAGCUAAUACCGCAUGAGAUCUACGGAUGAAAGCAGGGGAUCGCAAGACCUUGUGCUACUAGAGCGGCUGAUGGCAGAUUAGGUAGUUGGUGGGAUAAAAGCUUACCAAGCCGACGAUCUGUAGCUGGUCUGAGAGGACGAUCAGCCACACUGGAACUGAGACACGGCCCAGACUCCUACGGGAGGCAGCAGUGGGGAAUUUUGGACAAUGGGCGAAAGCCUGAUCCAGCAAUGCCGCGUGCAGGAUGAAGGCCUUCGGGUUGUAAACUGCUUUUGUACGGAACGAAAAGCUCUGGGUUAAUACCUCGGAGUCAUGACGGUACCGUAAGAAUAAGCACCGGCUAACUACGUGCCAGCAGCCGCGGUAAUACGUAGGGUGCAAGCGUUGAUCGGAAUUACUGGGCGUAAAGCGUGCGCAGGCGGUUUUGUAAGACAGAGGUGAAAUCCCCGGGCUCAACCUGGGAACUGCCUUUGUGACUGCAAGGCUAGAGUACGGCAGAGGGGGAUGGAAUUCCGCGUGUAGCAGUGAAAUGCGUAGAUAUGCGGAGGAACACCGAUGGCGAAGGCAAUCCCCUGGGCCUGUACUGACGCUCAUGCACGAAAGCGUGGGGAGCAAACAGGAUUAGAUACCCUGGUAGUCCACGCCCUAAAC
rnacentral:rRNA from 1 species